rnacentral:rRNA from 1 species
GACGGAGGGUGCAAGCGUUGUUCGGAAUUACUGGGCGUAAAGCGUACGUAGGCGGCGGAUUAAGUCGAAUGUUAAAGCCUGGGGCUCAACCCCAGAGAUGCAUUCGAUACUAGUCUGCUAGAGGGUGAUAGAGGAAAGCGGAAUUCCCAGUGUAGCGGUGAAAUGCGUAGAUAUUGGGAGGAACAUCAGUAGCGAAGGCGGCUUUCUGGGUCACACCUGACGCUGAGGUACGAAAGCGUGGGGAGCAAACGGG